rnacentral:rRNA from 1 species
CCUACGGGGGGCAGCAGUGAGGAAUAUUGGUCAAUGGACGCGAGCCUGAACCAGCCAAGUAGCGUGAAGGAUGACUGCCCUACGGGUUGUAAACUUCUUUUAUAAAAGAGUAAAGUGAGGCACGUGUGCCUUUUUGUAUGUACUUUAUGAAUAAGGAUCGGCUAACUCCGUGCCGGCAGCCGCGGUAAUACGGAGGAUCCGAGCGUUAUCCGGAUUUAUUGGGUUUAAAGGGAGCGUAGGCGGGGUGAUAAGUCAGUGGUGAAAGUUUGAGGCUCAACCGUAGAAUUGCAAUUGAUACUGGCAGCCUAGAGAACAGUUGCGGUAGGCGGAAUGCGUGGUGUAGCGGUGAAAUGCUUAGAGAUCACGAAGAACACCGAUUGCGAAGGCAGCUUACUAAACUGCCACUGACAUUGAUGCUCGAAAGUGUGGGGAUCAAACAGGAUUAGAUACCCUUGUAGUC